rnacentral:rRNA from 1 species
AAUGGGCGCAAGCCUGAUCUAGCCAUGCCGCGUGAGUGAUGGAGGCCUUAGGGUCGUAAAGCUCUUUCGCCUGUGAUGAUAAUGACAGUAGCAGGUAAAGAAACCCCGGCUAACUCCGUGCCAGCAGCCGCGGUAAUACGGAGGGGGUUAGCGUUGUUCGGAAUUACUGGGCGUAAAGCGCACGUAGGCGGAUUGGAAAGUUGGGGGUGAAAUCCCGGGGCUCAACCCCGGAACUGCCUCCAAAACUAUCAGUCUAGAGUUCGAGAGAGGUGAGUGGAAUUCCAAGUGUAGAGGUGAAAUUCGUAGAUAUUUGGAGGAACACCAGUGGCGAAGGCGGCUCACUGGCUCGAUACUGACGCUGAGGUGCGAAAGUGUGGGGAGCAAACAGGAUU